rnacentral:rRNA from 2 species
ACCCCUGGAAGACGACCAGGUUGAUAGGUUCGAGGUGGAAGUGCAGCAAUGCAUGCAGCUGACGAAUACUAAUCGGUCGAGGGCUUAUCCUA